rnacentral:rRNA from 1 species
GACGAACGCUGGCGGCGUGCCUAAUACAUGCAAGUCGAGCGAAGAUCCUGUGUCCGAUUCCUUCGGGGAGAAGACACAGACAUCUUAGCGGCGGACGGGUGAGUAACACGUGAGUAACCUGCCUCAUAGACUGGGAUAACUCCGGGAAACCGGUGCUAAUACCAGAUAAAAGCCAUCAUCGCAUGAUGAAAGCUUAAAAGAUGCUCCAAAGCAUCACUAAGAGAUGGACCCGCGUUGCAUUAGCUAGUUGGUGGGGUAGAGGCCUACCAAGGCGACGAUGCAUAGCCGGCCUGAGAGGGUGACCGGCCACACUGGGACUGAGACACGGCCCAGACUCCUACGGGAGGCAGCAGUAGGGAAUUUUCCGCAAUGGGCGAAAGCCUGACGGAGCGACGCCGCGUGAGUGAAGAAAGCCUUCGGGUUGUAAAGCUCUGUCUUUGGUGAAGAAGAACCUAAGGAAGAAAUGCCUUAGGAGUGACGGUAGCCAAGGAGGAAGCCCCGGCUAACUACGUGCCAGCAGCCCGCGGUAAUACGUAGGGGGCGAGCGUUGUCCGGAAUUAUUGGGCGUAAAGGGCGCGCAGGCGGUCUAUACAAGUCUU